GCCGGAGUGAUGGAAUUGGCAUACGUGCGCGACUCAAAAUCGCGAUUUUGUAGGUUCGAGUCCCACUUCCGGCACCA
rnacentral:tRNA from 1 species